rnacentral:rRNA from 1 species
CUACGGAGGGUCCAAGCGUUAUCCGGAAUCAUUGGGUUUAAAGGGUCCGUAGGCGGACAAUUAAGUCAGAGGUGAAAGCCCACAGCUCAACUGUGGAACUGCCUUUGAUACUGGUUAUCUUGAAUUAUAGUGAAGUAGAUAGAAUAUGUAGUGUAGCGGUGAAAUGCAUAGAUAUUACAUAGAAUACCGAUUGCGAAGGCAGUCUACUAACUAUAUAUUGACGCUGAUGGACGAAAGCGUGGGGAGCGAACAGGAUUAGAAACCCUAGUAGUCC